rnacentral:lncRNA from 1 species
AACCUUUUCUCCCUGGUGGAGGAACCACUUGCAUGAGAAUAAGAGGUUGUUCCCCAGGCCAUCAGACUCCAAACAGUUAUGCAACUGGAGCCUCCUGAGGAUGACCCCUUCUGCCUGGGACCCUUAGAUCAGCCUCUAGAGAAGCUUUGACUGCUGUUUCCCCAAAACAGCACCCCCUGCCAUCAGGAAGCAAAAGCCAUGUUGGUUCACCACAUGUAUCGCAUCCUGAUAAUGUGAAGUGAAAAAGUAGAGCCUGGAAGCCUUUGUAAGAUGACUGUGCCAGAGGAGGAAGAUAAAUAUCUCGAUGCUAUGGAGGCCUGUCAGCUCUUUGAAGUAUCUGGGCAAUAUCAAGAUUUCUACUUCAGAUGAAAAAACAAAUAGUUAUUCAUUGACCCUGUUGCCGCCAAGAAAGAGGUGAAAGGUGAACCCCCAACCCACGGAAAGAUCCAGCCAAGUAAGGAACUGCAAAAUAUUGAAUGACUAAUUCUCCAAACAAGGAGAACAAGAAGAUUUAUACUAGCCAUGCAAGGAAUCUUUGGAAGUCUAACAGACCUGACUUGAAGAGAAGGCUUUAAAC